GAUGAACGCUGGCGGCGUGCCUAAUACAUGCGAGUCGAGCGAACAGACGAGGAGCUUGCUCCUCUGACGUUAGCGGCGGACGGGUGAGUAACACGUGGAUAACCUACCUAUAAGACUGGGAUAACUUCGGGAAACCGGAGCUAAUACCGGAUAAUAUAUUGAACCGCAUGGUUCAAUAGUGAAAGACGGUUUUGCUGUCACUUAUAGAUGGAUCCGCGCCGCAUUAGCUAGUUGGUAAGGUAACGGCUUACCAAGGCAACGAUGCGUAGCCGACCUGAGAGGGUGAUCGGCCACACUGGAACUGAGACACGGUCCAGACUCCUACGGGAGGCAGCAGUAGGGAAUCUUCCGCAAUGGGCGAAAGCCUGACGGAGCAACGCCGCGUGAGUGAUGAAGGUCUUCGGAUCGUAAAACUCUGUUAUUAGGGAAGAACAAAUGUGUAAGUAACUAUGCACGUCUUGACGGUACCUAAUCAGAAAGCCACGGCUAACUACGU
rnacentral:rRNA from 1 species